rnacentral:rRNA from 1 species
UCGGAGAGUUUGAUCCUGGCUCAGGACGAACGCUGGCGGCGUGCCUAAUACAUGCAAGUCGAGCGGACAGAAGGGAGCUUGCUCCCGGAUGUUAGCGGCGGACGGGUGAGUAACACGUGGGUAACCUGCCUGUAAGACUGGGAUAACUCCGGGAAACCGGAGCUAAUACCGGAUAGUUCCUUGAACCGCAUGGUUCAAGGAUGAAAGACGGUUUCGGCUGUCACUUACAGAUGGACCCGCGGCGCAUUAGCUAGUUGGUGGGGUAAUGGCUCACCAAGGCGACGAUGCGUAGCCGACCUGAGAGGGUGAUCGGCCACACUGGGACUGAGACACGGCCCAGACUCCUACGGGAGGCAGCAGUAGGGAAUCUUCCGCAAUGGACGAAAGUCUGACGGAGCAACGCCGCGUGAGUGAUGAAGGUUUUCGGAUCGUAAAGCUCUGUUGUUAGGGAAGAACAAGUGCGAGAGUAACUGCUCGCACCUUGACGGUACCUAACCAGAAAGCCACGGCUAACUACGUGCCAGCAGCCGCGGUAAUACGUAGGUGGCAAGCGUUGUCCGGAAUUAUUGGGCGUAAAGGGCUCGCAGGCGGUUUCUUAAGUCUGAUGUGAAAGCCCCCGGCUCAACCGGGGAGGGUCAUUGGAAACUGGGAAACUUGAGUGCAGAAGAGGAGAGUGGAAUUCCACGUGUAGCGGUGAAAUGCGUAGAGAUGUGGAGGAACACCAGUGGCGAAGGCGACUCUCUGGUCUGUAACUGACGCUGAGGAGCGAAAGCGU